CCUACGGGUGGCUGCAGUGGGGAAUAUUGGACAAUGGGCGAAAGCCUGAUCCAGCCAUGCCGCGUGUGUGAAGAAGGCCUUCGGGUUGUAAAGCACUUUCAGUGGGGAAGAAAGCCUUGGGGCUAAUACCCUCGAGGAAGGACAUCACCCACAGAAGAAGCACCGGCUAACUCCGUGCCAGCAGCCGCGGUAAUACGGAGGGUGCGAGCGUUAAUCGGAAUUACUGGGUGUAAAGCGCGCGUAGGCGGUCUGAUAAGCCGGUUGUGAAAGCCCCGGGCUCAACCUGGGAACGGCAUCCGGAACUGUCAGGCUAGAGUGCAGGAGAGGAAGGUAGAAUUCCCGGUGUAGCGGUGAAAUGCGUAGAGAUCGGGAGGAAUACCAGUGGCGAAGGCGGCCUUCUGGACUGACACUGACGCUGAGGUGCGAAAGCGUGGGUAGCAAACAGGAUUAGAUACCCUGGUAGUC
rnacentral:rRNA from 1 species